rnacentral:tRNA from 1 species
CCGACCUUAGCUCAGUUGGCAGAGCGGAGGACUGUAGUUGGUGAAAGCCGUCAGACAUCCUUAGGUCGCUGGUUCGAAUCCGGCAGGUCGGA